UACGAAGGGGGGCUAGCGUUGCUCGGAAUCACUGGGCGUAAAGGGUGCGUAGGCGGGUCUUUUAAGUCAGGGGUGAAAUCCUGGAGCUCAACUCCAGAACUGCCUUUGAUACUGAGGAUCUUGAGUACGGGAGAGGUGAGUGGAACUGCGAGUGUAGAGGUGAAAUUCGUAGAUAUUCGCAAGAACACCAGUGGCGAAGGCGGCUCACUGGCCCGUAACUGACGCUGAGGCACGAAAGCGUGGGGAGCAAACAGG
rnacentral:rRNA from 1 species